GCCCUCCAAACAGGAUGGGUACCAGGGCAGUGCUGGGGGGAGCAGCAAGGCAAAGUCAGAGACAGGCCCUGCCAGGCAGGUGCUCUCUGCUCUGAGCCCUCUAAACAGGAUGGGUACCAGGGCAGUGCUGGGGGGAUAGAGCACUAAAGUCACAGUUGCCCAAGCCAUCUUUCAGAACAUGUUCCUAAAAAGGCACAGGACGCAUCUCUACUACAACAAGCAGGGAAGUAUUGCACGGGAGAAUGCGAAACUCUCUUGAAUUUUUUUUUUUUUUUUUGAGAUGUUGUCUGGCUCUGUUGCCCAGGCUGGAGUGCAGUGGCAAGAUCUUGGCUCACUGCAACUUCUGCCUCCCGAGUUCAAGCGAUUCUCACGCCGCAGCCUCCUAAGUAGCUGGGAUUACAGGCAUGUGCCACCACAACCAGGUAAUUUUUGUAUUUGUAGUAGAGACAAGGUUGUUGGCCUUGUCAGGCCAAUGUUGGCCAGGAUGGUCUCGAUCCCUAACCUCGUGAUCCACCUGCCUUGGCCUCCCAAAGUGCUGGGAUUACAGGCAUGAGCUACCGAGCCCGGCCACUCCCUUGAAUUUUUAAGUUAGAACCUGGAGCUUCAAAGGCUCGAGCCUGGGGUGAGAAAUCUCUCCUGGCUGGCCUCCUGGGUCUGCAUCGCAGUUCUCCGCCUUCCGGAGGUGGAGCGAUGCAAGGAGGGAGGCACUGAUCCUGCUUGACCCAAACAAAAGCCGUGCUUGCGCCUCGGCACUCACACCUUCUCUGCUUCCCCCAACUCCGUGCUCCUGAGCUGCCUGUAGACCUCAUAUUUCUUUUACAUGGAAAUGACCUCUCCGGACACGGUACCAAGACUGCUUUCCUCCAAGGACUGGCAGUAGCUGGAAGGGGCUGGUGUCUGAACUGGCAGAGCCAAGCUGAGCCCCCUGAUCAACAUCACUGUGAGGCAGGAGAAUAGGGUCUGGAGGCAGGGAACCUAAGGCCAAUUCAUGCUGACUUCUUAGAACUAAAUCCAAAGGAAAACCCCAACUUUCCAUCCCCAAGUAACAAAAGAACCAGAGGCUACUCCCUUCACACCGACCUGCUUUUCUACCAAGCAGAUCAAGAACUGAAAGUACCUCUGAUUGGUCCCCUCCUGCAACCAAUCAAGCUGGUCUCCGGCCAAGUCUUCAUUUAUAUAGGAGUGCAACUUUGUAAUUUCACUUCAGCCUCUGAUUGGUUGCUUUCCACAAUGAAUCAGAUAUUUGCAUAGGAUGUAACUUUGUAACUUCACUUCAGCCUCUGGUUGGCUGCUUUCCUCAACCAAUCAGACUGAUCGCAGGUCACUUUCAUUUACAUAGGGCAUGCACCAAAUAACCAAUGGGAAACCUCUAGAGGGUAUUUAAACCCCAGAAAAUUCUGUAACCAGGGCCUGCUCCCACCCUAUGGAGUGUACUUUCGUUUUCAAUAAAUCUGCUUUUGUUGCUUCAUCUUUUUCUUGCUUUGUUUGUGCCGUUUUGUCCAAUUCUUUGUUCAAGAUGUCAAGAACCUGGAUACCCUCCAUCGGUAACAACUGUCCAGGAGCCCCAUGUGCUCAGCCCACAGGGGACUAUGAUGCCAAACUGGAGGAAGGGCCGCCAAGAUGUCUCCAGCACCCACAGGUGUGUCUGCCAUCCCCCGCCACUGUCAGGUGCUGAAAACUCAGAAUCUGGGGGACACAGAAUGGACUGCGUUUCAGUUACCAGAAGGGUUUCCUGACACCCUCAUGAUGCCCACAGGGUGCUCCACUUGCACCCCAGGUAAAAAAGCCAAAAACAACCCUGUUUCCUAGUGCCCUCUCUCCUUGGCAGUCCCUGUCCUAAUGCCCCAAGUCCACGGGGGACUCCUCCUCCUUCGAAGGCACUGCUUCAAGACCAACAAGUCAUGCUGCGCUUGGAAAGGCCACCCUCUUAAUGGCUUGAGAGGUGUCCUGGCCUCCAUCCAUGACCUCAGGAGCAGACUCCCAGUGUUCAGCUGGCCAUGGCCACACUGCCCUGCCCUCCCUUCUCUCUCUUCCCGCCCACAGCUCCUCCCUGCCAGUCCCUACCUGCACUCUGAGCCCCUAACAUGCUCCCAGACCCUGCAGGGAUCUCAGGUGUUCUGAGACGGAUCUCCCGCCACACGCUUCAGCUUCUCAGCCGUGGCCUGAAGAUUCUCCCACCUACCUCAGGAUCGCUGGGAAGGCUGCAUGAGACGCUGCUUCUAAAGGCCGCCCCCCAACCCCUGGUCCAGCUCCUCAGGCUCUUUCUCUCUGGCCCAAGCACCCACUGUCUGACAUUUUCAAUGUCAGGCUUUCCGCACCUCUGACAGGCUGUCCGCACCCUGCAGGCACCCAUCUUGGGCAGGCCUCCCUGCCACCUCCUUUCCAGGCAAUGGAACCACUUGCAGCUCAACACCUGCUGCCACCUUUCUGCUUUACUCCUGCCCUUCAAACACUUAUUCCUCACUCACCCACUCACCCCACUUUCUGUCCCAGCACACUGGUGAAGGUGCACCAACAGCUGUCCCUCUGCAAAAUCCAGAGCCCCUCCAGGAAUCCCCACCCCAAACUCCAGGCAGCUCACAUCUCAGUAGAUCUCCCUCUCGGGCCACCUUCCCCCUCUUCCUCUCAAAGCACCACCCCAGUCCUGCCCGUUAGCACACCAGGCUUCUGCUCAAGAGAAGCUCAAGGGAGAUUAGCAUGUGCUCAUCCAUACCACAAGAAUUAAACACCACUUGCAGCUGCAAGGUUUACUAGCUUGAAAAAUCCAACACUCAUGAACUCCACACUCCUGUCUUUGGGGAACAGGGGAGAAAAAGAAAAGCACGUUAGUGACAGAUACAGGCCACUGUCUUGCUCAUCAGUGAAAUGGGCUCAAGGGCUAAAAGUGGAGGAUGUCAGCAGCUAACACUGCGCAUGGCUUGUUUCUCAAAGGAGCAGCUGCCCACGUGAGAGCAAGCCAUCUCCUCAGCAUCCCUGGCUUCUUCCAAAGUGUCAGAGCAGCAGAAAAAUGAAUCAUUUGCCGGGUGACAAGAAGCAAACACCCACCACUCUAUUUCCAAACAGCCUCUCUCUGAAGACCAUCAUGUGCCGAGGGGAGCCCGCAGAGUGGCCGCAUACAACUCGAUGCAUAUCUCUUCAAGGACAGAGGAGUGACAAUGGAGGAUUCUGUUUUUAUGACACUCUGGAACUGGCCAAACAAAUUGCCGGUGCUGGCACCCAGAGUGGUGAAGGCGGAGCUGAGAAGCGCGAUGGCGAUGUGCUACGUCUUGUUUCACAGUUGUCAAAACGUACGGAUCUGCUGGGUGAAGCUGUGCACUUGGCUGCAUGUUAAUUACACCUCAGUUAACAGCAGCAACGGCCACAGGUGUUCCGGCAAGGUCCCGGGUCCUGACUCAAUCUUCCCUGGGUUGAACGUUCUGUCACGCCUUACAUUUCAAACUGAGAAUCCAUUUAGUCAUUAAUUUAUCGCAAUUGCAUUGAAAAUUCAGGCCCUACCCUGGGUAUCGGGGUCUCAGCAGUGAGCAGAGUCAGAUUCUCUGAUUAUAUGGGGCGGACAUACCAGGGUGUCAUGGUGCUUUCUGGCACCAUUACCUAAGUACUCACAAAACCCACUGCUUUUGCUAGAGGAAUCUCACGGCAAACAUGAAAAGUGCCAUCCCCUGGGCUGAGCAGGGAUGCUCCCCCACCGCAGGGGUCACACAGAAGAAGGCAGGGAUCCAUCCCUCUGCAUCCUCCUCGAAACUGCACCCAAGACACGCAGGGUCCCCCCAGAGAGGAAGCUGUCUGAGGUUGCUGUACUAACCCCCGUCUGCAGCCUGGGGGACAGCACCUUCCCUGCUCUUGAGCCAGGGCUGGAUUGUGGUGGGGGCAGCCGGAAGGACGACUCACCUUUUGUGGCCCCACUCAGUCAGUGUCAGAAGUGGCGAUGACAAGGACGAAGAAGGGAUGAGGAAGAACAGAGACAAGAACAUGACCCAAGAGAAGGACAGAACGCUAAACCGGGGACCAGAAGAUGUGCUGCCAAGAUGGGACCCCGUGGCUGCCUCUCUUGCUUCGGAUGAGUUUCCUUUUUUCUUUUCUUUUUUUUUUUUUUUUUGAGACAGAGUCUCGCUCUGUCGCCCAGGCUGGAGUGCAGUGGCAAAAUUUCGGCUCACUGCAAGCUCCGCCUCCCGGGUUCACGCCAUUCUCCUGUCUCAGCCUCCCGAGUAGCUGGGGCUACAGGCGCCCGCCACCACAUUCGGCUAACUUUUUGUAUUUUUAGUAGAGACGGGGUUUCACCCUGUUAGCCAGGAUGGUCUCAAUCUCCUGACCUCAUGAUCCACCCGCCUCAGACUCCCAAAGUACUGAGAUUACAGGCUUGAGCCACUGCACCCGGCCCCUUUUUCUGAAAUAGAAAAUUGGGGUGAAAUGAGCCUCUGCUACCAGAUCUCACAUUCCCACUGAAAGAGCAGCUUGAGACAACUGAGGUGUGGGCUGGACGGAGCCAACAGGGUGGCUGCCAAAGCAUCACCUUUGUCCCAGCGAUGCUUUCAGCUGGGAUCUUGCAGGCAACCGCCUGAUAGGUUGUGCCUGGAAUAUAUUUCCUAACUCAGAUUGAGUGAAUGGGUCAACCUGUUUGGUUUAAAAACAAAACAACAACAAAACUACCUGUAAAUAAUACCAGGUUUGGGGGCACAUGGGAGUCAAAUGAUAGUAAAACGUAUUUACUUGAACAGCAUUCUUGACUAACACCCAAGACUGGACCCUGUUUAAGGCUCAACCAAGAAUCUGUCUGUUCUCGGAGAGAAAACUUAAGGCUACAGGAAACCCUCUGUACCGCCUAGGAAGCAGCGGGCGAGAUGGACACAGCAGCUCCUCAGUUUAAAAGGAGAAAGCCCAGCAAGAGAGGGUCGGGUUUCAGAGCACUUCCUGUCCCCACUUGCCCCUCCCUGGCUUCUUCCCUUUCCCUCACCAUCUGCUGGGUUUUGUUGCCUUUUUGCUUUUUACUCUCUGCUUCUCUGGGUUUGCACUUAAGAUCCUCUGGAAUCAAAUAACUAUCAAAUAUAAAUCUAGCUGGGCGUGGUGGCUCACACCUGUAAUCCCAGCACUUUGGGAGGCCGAGGCAGGCAGAUCACUUGAGGUCAGGAGUUCCAACAUGGGGAAACCCCAUCUCUACUAAAAAUGCAAAAAUUAGCCAGGCAUGGUGGCUGUAAUCCCAGCUACUUGGGAGGCUGAGGCAGGAGAAUCGUUUGAACCCAGGAGGCGGAGGGUGCAGUGAGCCGAGACUUCAUCACUACACUCCAGCCUGGGCAACAGAGUGAGACUCUGUCUCAAAAUAAAAUAAAAUAAAAUAAAAUAAAAGUAAUCCAAAUUUCUGCCUGAAUCUGCCCCAGCAAUUGCAGCAGACGGUUCCAUUCUGUAUCACUUGUUUCUGUAUUACUGGAUCUUUUUUUUGCAAUAACCUUGGGUUGUUUUCAUUGUCAGAAAAAAGUGAAGAUGUUGUAUGUCAAAAUGACGAACACACACAUAGAUUUCUUUCUCUAAGAGACAGGAUCUCACUAUGUUGCCCAAGCUGGUCUCGAACUUUAGGGUUCAAGGGAUCCCUCAACCUCAGCCUCCCAAAUAGCUAGGAUUACAGGCACAAGCCACCAAGUCUAGGUUGAAUUUUUUUUUUUUUUUUAAGUAGAGACUGGGUCUCCCUAUGUUGUCCAGGCUGGUCUCCAACUCCUGGACUCAAAGGAUCCUCAUACCUCAGCCUCCCAAGUAGCUGGGAUUACAGGUCUCAGCCACUGCAUCCGCGCCAGCUUGCAUUUUUUUUUUUUUUUUUUUUUUAACACAGGGUCUCACUCUGUCACUCAGGCUGGAGUGCAGUGGCACGAUCUUGGCUCACUGCAACCUCCACCUCCUGGGCUCAAGUAAUCCUCCUGCCUCAGCCUCCGCAAGUAGCUGACAGUACAGACAUUAAGUUACUACACUCAGGUAAUUUUUGUUUUUUUUUUGUAGAGACGGGGUUUCACCAUGUUGGCCAGGCUGGUCUCUAACUCCAGAGCUCAAGUGAUCCACCUACCUCGGCCUCCCAAAGUGCUAGGAUUAUAGGCAUGAGCCACCGGGCCCGGCCUCAGCUUGCAUUUUUAUAUUAAAAUAACCUCACAGGCUGCUUUUAGUUAGCAACAGCUUGGGUAUUUAAUAGUGUGUUUUCAAAUUAUGAGUAGUGUUACCCAUUUUGCUCUAAAAUAGACUCAGCGCUGACUCUGAAACUCUGUGCCUUGGAGUAGCAUGGUGUUUUGUGCACUCAUCCCGGAAAUAAAUGUUCUAAACACAGAGUCAAAGUCGCAAAGAAACAAAGAGGAGGCUGUGGACAAGGGAGGCCAAGCAGCCUGUAUUCCUACAUAACCAUUAAAGAACAAUUUGCGUGGCUAUAUAAAAUCUAAUUUUAAAAAAUAUUUAGAAAUUUUAAGACAACCAUUUCAAAAAAACAUUUAAAAAAGGCAUUUUCCUUUUCUUGAGUAAGGGGAGUCCUUUCAGGCCUUUGUUUUAAAUUUGUCAAAGCAACCCAUGUUCAUAGUAAAGUAAGAAUUCAUGUGCAACACAAAGCAAAAAUUCCGAAUCCUGUAUGCGCCCCAUCCCUAGUAUAAUUACUAUUAGUGGUUUCUUGUGCUUACAACAAGAAAAACGCUUUUCUUAAUAGAAGAGGGCUUGCCUGGUAAGGGGGCCCAUGGGUCUUCUGGCGUUGGGGAUGUACAGGUUAUGUUCAUGCCAUGUCAACUCAUCAAGCAGUGCACUUUUCUGUGUGUAUACAUCAAUGAAAAGGUUAAAAACGGGAGGCCAGAGGAGAUGCAAAGUAAUCUGAAACUAAGUAGAAAGAGAAGGGCAGCAAGUGACAGACUAGCAAGACAUUCUGAAUGUAACAGACUCUGGAAAGAAUAAUCUCUGAACAGUUUACAGCAGGAGUCAGAAUGAGCUAUCUUCUAGAAAGAAAUAAGAAUGGAACAGCAUUCAAUAGAACACCCAUGAACACCAAAGGAAUGAGGGAAAUAUUGUUGCAUUAACAUUUUCCAGAAAAGAGCCCUUUUUGGUACCUAAGGGAGAAUUACCCAACUACUAUUUUAUAAAAUGAAAUUAUUUUCUUCAAUAGUUAGUUGUUUUCAAGAUGGGCCCCAGUGUCAAUACUUUGCUGGCCAAAUCGACCCUAUUUCAGGAAUACAGUAAACAAAAAAAG
rnacentral:lncRNA from 1 species